rnacentral:rRNA from 1 species
CCUACGGGAGGCAGCAGUGGGGAAUAUUGGGCAAUGGGCGCAAGCCUGAUCCAGCAACGCCGCGUGAAGGAAGAAGGCUUUCGGGUUGUAAACUUCUUUUCUCAGGGACGAAGCAAGUGACGGUACCUGAGGAAUAAGCCACGGCUAACUACGUGCCAGCAGCCGCGGUAAUACGUAGGUGGCAAGCGUUAUCCGGAUUUACUGGGUGUAAAGGGGUAGUAGGCGGGGACGCAAGUCAGAUGUGAAAACCACGGGCUCAACCUGUGGACUGCAUUUGAAACUGUGUGUCUUGAGUACUGGAGAGGCAGACGGAAUGCCUAGUGUAGCGGUGAAAUGCGUAGAUAGUAGGAAGAACACCAGUGGCGAAGGCGGUCUGCUGGACAGCAACUGACGCUGAGGCGCGAAAGCGUGGGGAGCAAACAGGAUUAGAUACCCGUGUAGUC